CAUGCAUUCGGCAUGACGAUGAGACUUAAAAAGAAUCCAUUUUCUUCCGGGACAUGACAUGAUGGUUUCAAGAAGAGUCUCAUGUGAGGGAGCAUUACCACAGACCAUGCAAGGAAGCUAUGCCAGUCACCUUUUUGAAUUGCCAGGCAUUCGUGAGGCCGUUUUUGGGGAAGUCUCCAGAAGAGGAAUCUUUCUGUUGAGGGAGCAUGCACACCACACCGGGAAUGGAGUAACAGCUGUAGUUCCAGAGACUUUUUGAGGCUGAAAAAAGGAGACUUCAUCACCCACAGAGAAACUCUUUCUGGCAUUCUUGGAAAGGAGACUUCAUCACAGACAUAGAGUCUUUUUGGGCAUUUUUUGGAGAAGGGUUCAUCAGCGACAUAGGGAGUCACUUUUUGGGUGUUUUAUGGAGGAGUGCAAAUUCUAAUUGAAAAAGGCAAGUUCAUAACUGCCGGAGUAGUUCACCACCGUUGAAAAUUGCUGGUUCGUCUAUGGAGUUCAUCAUUGCUGGAGUAGUUCACCACCGUUGAAGCUCGCUAGUUCGUUUAUAGAGAGUCAUCACCACCAUUAGAGUUCAUUGUCAUCGGAGAACAAUAUUCAUCACGGCCAUUGCAGUCCACCGUCAGUGAGAAAGGAUAUCGACACCCAUUUUUGGAGCUUUAGGAUCUUCAUAUUCGAGGAUGGAAUCGCCAUUUUCCUUUGGAUAUCCAUUUUUAUGAGGGAACAAGAGAUCACACAUGCAUCAUUAUUCUUUUCUGGUUUCCGCAAACAUCACAUGAGAUUUUUCUACCAUUUCAAAUCAGUGCUCACCAUUCUUCACCCUCAUCUUGUCAAGAGAUCACCAUUCUUAUUAUCCUUUUUUUCUGCAGUCUUUUUAACUUUUCUUUUUUCCGUUUGGUUGCCUAGAAAAUAAGAUUUUCUUGCCCUUCAGUUUCUAGGAAAUCACAAACUUGUAAGUACAUUCUCGCCUUUCAAAUGGGUGUUUCCAAGAUUCCUGCUCUUUUUUUUUUUUUUUUCUUUUUCUUUUCCUUCCUUUGAUUUUUCAGCAACCAAAUAGAUCAUAAAUGGAAACUGUUCCGCAACUAGGAUCGUUCACCCAGUAGGUCAUUAACGGAAACUGUUUAGUUAAGAGGAAGGAUUUUUGUCACGAUUUCCCUAGAAGCCCAAUUUCUAUUUGGUUGCCUAGAAAAAACAAGGAAAGACAGAAAUUGACUACCUGAACUUUGGAUGUUGCUUUUGCUUCGUAGGGUAUUGGAUCAUCAGAAGAUUCUGAAAAAGAAAAAGUAUAAAACCAAAUGGUGGCUGUCAAGGCUUAAGUUUCGAGGUUUAUCAUGAGAAUGAGAGCGUUAACGUUGGUUCCCGUGAUUCUGUUGGUACUAGUAGCACGAGGAAAUCUAUGCAGUUCAACAAAGGGACUGUUCCGAGCAAUUCAAGCGUGUCAAAAGUUAUUUCAAUUGCUCAUCUUCUUCAGCAUUUGUUGAUUUUGGCGGUUGUUUGGUAAGGUUUGCAAUAUGAUGCUUUUGAAGUCUUUAUUCAUUUUAUUUUCCUUCUAAUAAAUUCAUAUAAUUAUAAAUACAUUGUUACCGUAAUCUAUACUAUUUAAAAAACUAUGAAAAAAAUAUAUUUCUUUACAUUAUUGAAUUACUAACUGUAUAUCCCAAAAUUUGUCCCAAGUUUAUUUUUACAUUAAUUUUGAGUCAAAUUGUAUCAUUAAAAUUUAGAUUCAAUUACAUUUGAA